GUUGGCGGCGUGGAUUAGGCAUGCGAGUCGAGCGAGAACCCGCAAGGGGGACAGCGGCGAACGGGGUAGUAAUGCGUAGGUGACGUGCCCUUGGGACCGGAAUAGCCACGGGAAACUGUGGGUAAUGCCGGAUAACCUCACAGGAUUUGAAAAUCCAAUGAGCAAUGGGUGUGAUUCCGCCCUUGGAGCGGCUUACGUGGUAUUAGCUAGUUGGUGAGGUAAUGGCUCACCAAGGCGACGAUGCCUAGGGGGUGUGAGAGCAUGGCCCCCACCACUGGGACUGAGAUACUGCCCAGACACCUACGGGUGGCUGCAGUCGAGAAUCUUCGGCAAUGGACGAAAGUCUGACCGAGCGACGCCGCGUGCGGGAUGAAGGCCUUCGGGUUGUAAACCGCUGUCAGAGGGGAUGAAAUUCAUUUGGGUA
rnacentral:rRNA from 1 species